GUGGGCUGGUCCACCGUCCCUCAGACCAUGUGGUCUGAGGGACAGUGGACCAGCCCAC
rnacentral:miRNA from 1 species